GUAAGCAUAGUUUAACUACAAAACACCAACCUGUGGACUUGGUAAUAGGG
rnacentral:tRNA from 1 species